rnacentral:rRNA from 1 species
GGAGGCAGCAGUGAGGAAUAUUGGUCAAUGGGCGCGAGCCUGAACCAGCCAAGUCGCGUGAGGGAUGAAGGUUCUAUGGAUCGUAAACCUCUUUUAUAAGGGAAUAAAGUGCGGGACGUGUCCCGUUUUGUAUGUACCUUAUGAAUAAGGAUCGGCUAACUCCGUGCCAGCAGCCGCGGUAAUACGGAGGAUCCGAGCGUUAUCCGGAUUUAUUGGGUUUAAAGGGUGCGUAGGCGGCCUUUUAAGUCAGCGGUGAAAGUCUGUGGCUCAACCAUAGAAUUGCCGUUGAAACUGGGGGGCUUGAGUAUGUUUGAGGCAGGCGGAAUGCGUGGUGUAGCGGUGAAAUGCAUAGAUAUCACGCAGAACCCCGAUUGCGAAGGCAGCCUGCCAAGCCAUUACUGACGCUGAUGCACGAAAGCGUGGGGAUCAAACAGGAUUAGAUACCCUGGUAGUCCACGCAGUAAACGAUGAUCACUAGCUGUUUGCGAUACACUGUAAGCGGCACAGCGAAAGCGUUAAGUGAUCCACCUGGGGAGUACGCCGGCAACGGUGAAACUCAAAGGAAUUGACGGGGGCCCGCACAAGCGGAGGAACAUGUGGUUUAAUUCGAUGAUACGCGAGGAACCUUACCCGGGUUUGAACGCAUUCGGACCGAGGUGGAAACACCUUUUCUAGCAAUAGCCGUUUGCGAGGUGCUGCAUGGUUGUCGUCAGCUCGUGCCGUGAGGUGUCGGCUUAAGUGCCAUAACGAGCGCAACCCUUGUUGUCAGUUACUAACAGGUCAUGCUGAGGACUCUGACAAGACUGCCAUCGUAAGAUGUGAGGAAGGUGGGGAUGACGUCAAAUCAGCACGGCCCUUACAUCCGGGGCGACACACGUGUUACAAUGGCGUGGACAAAGGGAAGCCACCUGGCGACAGGGAGCGAAUCCCCAAACCACGUCUCAGUUCGGAUCGGAGUCUGCAACCCGACUCCGUGAAGCUGGAUUCGCUAGUAAUCGCGCAUCAGCCAUGGCGCGGUGAAUACGUUCCCGGGCCUUGUACACACCGCCCGUCAAGCCAUGGGAGCCGGGGGUGCCUGAAGUGCGUAACCGCGAGGAGCGCCCUAGGGUAAAACUGGUGACUGGGGCUAAGUCGUAACAAGGUAGCCGUACCGGAAGGUGCGGCUG